UUAGUAGAGCCGGGGUUUUACCAUGUUAGCCAGGAUGGUCUCGAUCUCCUGACCUCGUGAUCCACCCACCUCAGCCUCCGAAAGUGCUGGGAUUAUAGGUGUGAGCCACCGCAUCUGGCCUUCUUGGCCUUCUUGAAACUUUUUAGAAUAUGACAGUACUUCUCUGGAUUCAGCACUAGCAGAGUCAGAGAACUCUGAACUCCUCUCGUACAAACAUAAACUUUGCUUUAUAUUUAUCCCAAAAAACAAAUACCUUAUGAUCUGCAUAGGAGUACCCAGAAAUAUAAUCUGGGAUCAUUUGAUAAAAAUAGUAAAUAGAUUGAAGUAAAAGCAAUUGCUUUGUAUUAUAGGAAGUUUUGUUUUGUUUUGUUUUGUUUUGUUUUGUUUUGUUUUGUUUUGUUUUGUUUCUGAGACAGAGUUUUGCUCUUGUUGCCCAGGCUGUCAUGCAGUGGCACGAUCUCGGCUCACCGCAACCGCCGCCACCUGGGUUCAAGCGAUUCUCCUGCCUCAGUCUCCUGAGUAGCUAGGAUUACAGGCAUGUGCCACCAUGCCUGGCUAAUUUUGUAUUUUUUUUAGUAGAGACGGUUUCUCCAUGUCGGUCAGGCUGGUCUCGAACUCCCAACCUCAGGUGAUCCGCCCACCUCAGCCUCCCAAAGUGCUAGGAUUACAGGCGUGAGCCACCAUGCCUGGCCCCAUUAUAGGAAGUUAUUGAAGUUGUUUGUGUAAAAAUUCUGCUUUAGUCAUCCUUGAGGAUCAUUUUAACUCCUUGUUCUGUAAAAUUGUCUUAAGCAUCUUAACACGUUACAUCACAGGGUUUUAGCUCAGAUUUCCAAAGAGCCAUAUUUUUUGGUACAUAGUGAGUGUAAAUUUCCAGUUGUAUUUUGCAUCCUGAUUCUGAUAUUUGGAACUUGGCCAUCUGUGGGUGCUACUCUAGUAAGACUAAAAGACACCUACUAAAUAGGAACAAGGAUAACCAGUUCUACCAAAAGCAUUACCAACCAAACCUCCCCAGUUCUUUUUUCAGACUUUCCUUUUGCUUUCGACCUAUUAAACUGUAAAGCAGAGAUUUAACGUUUCCCUAUUCUUCUGCUUUGACUCACAUACUGAAAUGACCACACAGCACGCCAUUGAAUCUUUUCAGUUGUUCAUAAAUUAAAAUAAUGCCCAUGUUUUACAGGUUUUGGAAUAGUCUCAGCAAUGGAUCUGUAAUUUCAGGAUCUGUAUUUAAAAGAUCAAGAUAGUUUUAUGUGUUUCAGAAUUAGCUGUUUUUUUGGUUUUUGGGUGUUUUCUGUGGGUUUGUUUUUUGUGUCUUGUUUGGUUGGUUGGUUUUUGUUUUUUAGGUGUUUUCUGUGGGUUUGUUUUUUGUGUUUUGUUUGUUUUUGGGUUUUCUUCACUUUUCAAAGGUCACUAUCUCGUGAGCCUGGUGUAAAUGCCAGGAAUGUUGUAUGGACUUAGCAUCUGCAUCUCGUUAAUUGUACCACACAACACUCUGCCGUUCAAAUAAUGAAUAAUACCUGGUCAGGAUACGAACUUAUACCCUCUGUGUUAUUUUUUUUAAAGGUAUGUGAUUUCUGAAAUAAACUUUUUAUAGAAUGAUAA